UCCAUGGAGAUUGCUUCUCGUUGAGCAACGCAUGGCACUGGAUCAGCAUUGCCUCGGAGAAGUCUGCCGCAACCACGGCGGUGAAGGUAGCGGACUUUGCAAACCGUCGAGAGUGGAGGCCGGUGCCACAGCUGAUGUCGACGAGCAGAUUCUCUUCGUCGGGUCUGGAGGGAUCAACAGCAGUUUGGAGGAAAGUCUCGGCCAGCUCCACCUGAAGAACAAAGAGAGUGAGUCGAGACGAUCGCUGCGAGUUGGAGAGAAUGGAGAAGCAACCUCUCUGUCGGGACCGGGGAACCCAAACUUCUCGAAGCUCUUGCGCCAGUUCUCCUCGUAGAUGAGAGAGAUCCAUUUCGUCCUGCGAGAAGAGCCUGACUCCAAUUGGAAGAGUCUCCUGCCAAGUGCUGCGAUUGGCACCCAGCGUCAAAUCGAUGAAAGUUCCAUCGCUGGGAAAGUCCUUGCUGCAAGUUUGGCACCGCAAGAUUGACUUGGCGAUUGCUGCGCUGCAAGAGAAGAAGAAAAAGCGAUCGAUCGAUCGAAGAAGAUAAGAAAAAAAGGAGAAGAGAGAGAGAGAGAGAGAGAGGAACAAAACUUACCGAUUAAAUCCUUGGGGUCCAUGCCGGCUGAGUGGCUCCAAACAUGUGGGGCAAGCAAGAUUUCUUGGGCUGGUUGUCUGGAAAGAAAGAAAAGCAAGAAAAAGUAUGAAUUGAGUUGA